AACCGGGAUUGCCUCAGUAACGGCGAGUGAAGCGGCAAGAGCUCAAAUUUGAAAGCUGGCCCCUCCGGGGUCCGCGUUGUAAUUUGCAGAGGAUGCUUCGGGCUCAGCCCCCGUCUAAGUGCCCUGGAACGGGCCGUCGGAGAGGGUGAGAAUCCCGUCUGGGACGGGGUGCCUGGGUCCAUGUGAAGCUCCUUCGACGAGUCGAGUUGUUUGGGAAUGCAGCUCUAAAUGGGUGGUAAAUUUCAUCUAAAGCUAAAUACUGGCCGGAGACCGAUAGCGCACAAGUAGAGUGAUCGAAAGAUGAAAAGCACUUUGAAAAGAGAGUUAAACAGCACGUGAAAUUGUUGAAAGGGAAGCGCUUGCGAUCAGACUCGCCUGCGGGGUUCAGCCGGCAUUCGUGCCGGUGUACUUCCCCGUGGGCGGGCCAGCGUCGGUUCGGGUGGCCGGUCAAAGGCCCCGGGAAUGUGUCGCCCUCCGGGGCGUCUUAUAGCCCGGGGUGCCAUGCGGCCUACCUGGACCGAGGAACGCGCUUCGGCUCGGACGCUGGCGUAAUGGUCGUAAGCGACCCGUCUUGAAACACGGACCAAGGAGUCUAACAUCUACGCGAGUGUUUGGGUGGCAAACCCAUACGCGCAGUGAAAGCGAACGGAGGUGGGAACCCUUCGGGGCGCACCAUCGACCGAUCCUGAUGUCUUCGGAUGGAUUUGAGUAAGAGCGUAGCUGUGGGGACCCGAAAGAUGGUGAACUAUGCCUGAAUAGGGCGAAGCCAGAGGAAACUCUGGUGGAGGCUCGCAGCGGUUCUGACGUGCAAAUCGAUCGUCAAAUUUGGGUAUAGGGGCGAAAGACUAAUCGAACCAUCUGGUAGCUGGUUCCUGCCGA
rnacentral:rRNA from 1 species